rnacentral:lncRNA from 1 species
CUUAUUAGGUAUACUACUGGAAUCCAAUUUUAAAGAAAUUCAAGAACAUGAAAAUGACAAGAACGUUGGAAUGUGUAUCAAAGAUGUCAUUGAGGAGUGUAAGAUAUUUUACUUUGCCGGUCAAGAGACUACCUCAGCUCUGCUUCUAUGGACAAUGGUUCUAUUAAGCAAACAUCCAAACUUGCAAGCUCGUGCAAGAGAAGAGGUUUUACAUGUUUUUGGCAACAACAAACCCGAAGGAGAUGGACUAAAUCACCUUAAAAUUGUGAGUAUUAAUCUAAUAUUCAUUGAAUUAAUUUCCACCAAAAUAAUCUACUUAUACAGCACUUAAUUUAUCAAAUUUUGAGUAACAACGAAGAUAGGUUAUUCUUACAUCUUUUCUGUUUGAUCACAAAAGGUCCAUUCUUAGAAUAGUGUAAUCCAUAUAUAAUUUAUAACAAAGGCUCUUUUACAUGACCAUGUUAAAAGGUUUCCUUCAUUUAUUUAAGUGUGCAUAUUAAUGAUUAAAUUAGGUCAUAAAUUUUCAUUUGAUGAUUCUUGAAAUUUCUCAAAAUGCAGGUUAUGAUGAUUCUUCAUGAGGUUCUUAGGCUAUAUCCACCGGUCCCCUUGCUUGCUCGAACUGUUUAUGAGGACAUCCAAGUAGGAGACAUGUAUUUACCUGCUGGAGUGGAUGUCUCCUUACCAACAAUCCUGGUACAUCAUGAUCAUGAAAUUUGGGGAGAAGAUGCAAGGGAGUUCAAUCCAGAGAGGUUCUCCUAAGGAGUUUUGAAGGCAACGAAAAGUCCAGUUUCAUUCUUCCCCUUUGGUUGGGGUUCUCGAUUAUGCAUUGGACAAAACUUUGCAAUAUUGGAAGCUAAAAUGGUGCUUGCAAUGAUCCUACAGCGCUUCUCAUUCAGCCUUUCACCAUCCUAUUCUCAUGCUCCUUGUAGUCUUGUUACUUUGAAACCCCAACAUGGGGCACACUUGAUUUUACAUGGGAUCUAGGAUUAGUCUAUGUUAUCAGUCAUUUAUGGAUAAUAUUUUGUAUGCUAAAAUGUAGGUUUUUUUUUUUUUUUUUUUUUUCAAAUCCAAAUCCUAACAACAUAUGAGUGCGGAUUGGAUAACAUGCUCAAAAUUUGCAUCUUAAAAUAAAACGGACAAGUAAAAAGUUGGACAAAGCUAAUUUGUAACAGUUCAAUCCUGUGCAAAUUUGAGAUUUACCAAUUCAUGAUAUGUUAAACCUCUUUGGUUCUAUUUCAUGUUAUAAAACGUCAAAUGUAAGAUUUUCCUAAAUGAAAUCUGGCCCAUAAUCUUUUAUCAAUUUUGGGAAUAAUGCUAGACUUUCCUAAAUGGGUCUAGAAAUCUGGCUGGUAAUUAAUAUUCUAGUAUUUCCGUUGAUCUAGUUUUCCUUUUUGAUUGCCAUUAAUAGUCAUAAAUUAUGGCAUAGACCCUGUGAUGAGCAGAGUGAAUAUAAAUAGAGCCUUUUCGUGGUUAGUUCUCUAAGCCUCCAAUUCCAAUUUAGACAUAUAUACACCAUCGUUUCAGAUUAAUUAAGGGUUUAGAAGCACCUCAACCCAUCUAAAUAUCAAAUUUGAUUUUCGAAUUCCCAAACCAUCAAUGGCUGGAGGUAUGUUUCGAUUCUUUUUUUUAUUUUUGCAAUUGAUAUUUGCUAUUAAGGUUUUGAGCAUAUUAGAUUGGUGAUAUAUGCUUUUUGGGCAUGUUUAGAUUGGUUUUAAAAUUAUUUGAUUAAUAAAAGUAUUCUACAAAGUUAGAGAUUAACUAAAGGUAUUUUACGAAAUUAUUAGCUUAAAUAAAAACAUUUUGCACAAUUAUUAAAUUAAAUAAAAGUAUUUUACAAAACUGUUAGAUUAAAUAAUUGAGUAAAGAAAAAAAAGUAUUUUAAAACUAAACAAAAUAGCAAACAAAAUAAAUAAAUACAUAAUAAUAAUAACAAUAAUAAAAGAAAGUGAUGCAAGCCAUGCAAAAAGGUGAUUCGUGCAAACUGUGCAACCAUGCAAGCCAUUCAAGUCAUGCAAAGAAUGCCUAAAAGGUGACCUAAGUAUGCUUAAGGUGGGCCUAGGUGAACCUAAGUGGGCCUAGUGAACCUAAGUAGGCUUAGAUGUGCCUAAAUGGGUCUACGCAAAUCUAAGUGGGCCUAAAUGAACCUAAGUGGGCCAGGUGGAUCUAAGUUGGCCAAGGUGAACCUAAAUAGGUCAAGUGUGCCUAGGUAGGCUUAGGUGAAUCUAAAAGGUGUCUAAGUGACCUAGGGUGAUCGGAAAAGUGCUUAAGUGACCUAGGGUAAUCUAAGUGUCCUAAAAGUAUACCUAAAUGAACUAUCCUAAAAAUAAAAAUAAAAAAUCCUAAAUAUAACUCAGGGUUGCCAAGGGUCAGAAUGAGGGUCCAGAUAAGCCCCUCAACAAAGGGUCCCUAAAGUUGGCUAAAAAAAAAUAAAAUUGUAUGAGUGUCAAUGGGCCAUUAGGGAACUAUUGGGGAGUAUUGAAAGAAUACCUAAAAGGGCAUGUGUGAAGGGAACAUAAUGGAGGGUCUACAAGUGUAGAAUACUAAAUUUUAAAAAAUCUUGUAAACUAAAUCGUCUUCCACCUGUUGACUCCUUGAGUUCAGACAUUAAGAUGGUGUAGAUCUUAGGUUAUACACUAGGGUUUUUUCUCUUUGGAUUGAAGGGAAAGGCAAUGAGAUUGAAGCUGUAACCCCUAAGAGGGAUAUAUAUAGGCUUCCUAUUAGGCUUAAGUGACUUGAGCCCACCAUGGGCUUGAAUCACUUAAUCUAGCCCAAAAGGUUGCUAAUUGAUUAAUUAAUCUAAUAGGACUUCAAAUAAUCAAUUAGCUCAGUCUAUUGGCAUCCUCAUAAUCUAAUUCUAAAGUUGACCCAACAUCCCUCUACAAAGAGUAAACUACACUUCAGUAUCUUAUGUAUAUUACAAUGAGACACCAAGUGAUUAAGUCUGUGACCUGUUAUCCACUAUAUAUAGUCUCCCUAUGAACUGGUUGUCCAUAGUUUAACAAGGUAAAAGCUCUCAGGCUUUUAAGACUACCUUUGCCAUCCUUGAGUAACAGAUCCUCCUAUUAUGUGAUUAAAUGACAUACUAUAACUCAUUAAGAGCAUAUGUCAAAUUCCACUAAAGGAAUUAUUAUGGGCUCAUAGAUUUCAUGAUCACAUGUCCUUAGAAUCACCCAAGGGGGUCUAUUGUCUCAAAGUCCAUGAGAUAUCAUGGUGCCUCUAUUGAAAAUACCUAUUGCUACCAACUUCCAUCAAUAGUGACCCAAUUCAUAGAGAAUAUAUGAUCACUUUAGGAUUUCACUCGUAGGUCAAAGUCAUUGCUAACUUCUACACAAGCUCAAUAUUCUCCUAAGGUUAAGAGACAAUACAACGUAGCAACUUGGUGAAGUCAUGACUACUCAAUAGCCUUAUGUCAUAACUCACCAUAGGUUCUAUCCAAUAUGUAACCAUACACACUAGUGUACUCACCAUGAGAACCUUAUCUUGAUGGUAAAGACCAAUUAUCCUUCUAAUUAGGAAGUGGUGCACUAGAGCCUCAAAUGGAUUGCGUAAGUCUACGAAUCGACUUAUCACCUAAUAAACCUACCUCAAAUACACUAUACACUACUACACCACCUCUAAUUAGGAAGUGGUAUAUCAACUUGGAGAAGUUAUGACUAUCCAAUAGCCUUAUGUCAUGACUCCCUAUAGGUCCUAUCCAAUGUGUAACCAUACACACUAGUACACUCACCAUCAGAAGUCCAUCUCAAUAGUUAAGACUAGCAAUCUAUCUAAUUAGGACGUAGUGCACUACAACCUCAAAUGAAUUAUCUAAGUCUAUGAAUUGUUUGUGAAUAAAUCAUCUACUUACAAAGAAUCUAUGAUUUGGAUCUUUUGUGCAAAUCCUAAUGCACCUAAGUCGUGUAUAAUGCAAAAGAUACUAAGUUAGAAUGCUCAUAAAGUAUAAUGGAUGAAAUAAGAAUAGAUAAAAGUGAAAUUUGAAUAUCAUUAAAUGAAUAAUGAUUCCAAAUCCGUUACAUCAUAUCAUGCAUUUAAGGGUUCUAUCCUAACAAUAAUUAUGAAUUACAAUUUUGUGACAUAGAUGCUUAUGUGGCUAAAACAUACUAGAUUGAGAAUUAUUUUACCACUCAACUUAGUUUAUGGAUCUUUUUUACAGGGAUUAUUUUUGGUUAAAACUCCUUAUUUGGUUUCAUUAACUAUUCACCCCUAUACAACCAAGAGGAUUUGAUACUCAAGGAUGGUAGAGGUAAUAUAGAAAGGUUAAUAACUUCUACCUUCUUAGAUUACGAAUAUCGAUUCAUAAAGCAUCUACAUAUAAUAGAUAGUAGGUCACAAAUUUGAGAAAUUAAAAUUUAGAUUUAAUCAAUUUAUCUAGAUGUGAUUUUUUUGGGUACUAAGUGCAUUUGAAUCUUUAGUGGAGUGUUGAGUUAACUUCAAAAUUAGAUUUCGAAAGAGUCAUUAUUUUCCUAUGGGUCCCAAUGGUUUUUGUUCAAACUCAUAUUCUAUGUUAGUAUAAAGUUUUAAGGUUUUAUGAAAAAUUAAUAAUUUAUAUGCAUAAGGGUGUUGGUGAUAGUGUAAGAUUACACAAGAAUUUAUGAUUAAUUAUUUUGAGUUUUUUUUAUAGAGCUGAUUAACUAUUAAUCUCAUUAGGAUUAAUUAAUUACUUAGAACCUAGAUUUUUUUUUCAAUAAUCAAGAAAUCACUACUGUCUAAUAAAAUAUGUGUUGGCGAUGAUUUUAUUUAUUUAUUUAUUUAUCGUGUAUUAACAUAGUACAUAGACCUACCACCAUGCAAUCAUAAACUUAAAAGAUGCGAUGAUGAUUGAUUGAAAGAAUUAGGUAUCGAAAGGAUGCCCGCAUCGCAAAAAGGUCCCACUUAGAAAGGAUAAAACAAUUAUCUACUUCCUUGUUUACUUCAAGGGAAACCAAUUUAAUUUGUUUUUAGUUACCAUAAUAAAUACUUUGGGAUUAGUGUUACCCAAUAUGGGUUCGGAGAUUGCCUCGGGAUGGGUGUCUCAUUGAACAUGAUAAAAAGAUAUGGCCACACACUCUCUAAUAGUUAAUUCAAGUGCUUGUCUGAUAUUGAGAUGGCUAAAGCCUUUUUUGUUAUAUUAGAAAAGAUUAUUUGUAUUUGUCACCUUCUUUUAUGUUGCCAAGAUUAGCCAGGUGUCCAGACCUACACUGAUGCCACCAUAAACUCAAAGCUGCAAAGUUGAUUGAAUUGAUCAGGUCUUUCAAAUGAUACAAAAAAAAAAUUGAUGUCAGUUUCUAUGGUAUUGUAAAAAUAUUACAAGCUUUUGUUUUCUCUUCACGAGAAACCAUUUUAUUUGUUUUUGGCUAUCGUAAGCAAAAUAAUCUGCUAAAAUUUCUUUCAUAAGGUUCUUUCUUUUCUAUUUUCUUUACUAGGCCCUUUACUUUCUUAAUUAAUACGUAUAUUCACUUUCAUAUGUUCAAGUUGUGCUAUUUGGAUUCUAUUUGAAGGCAUCCUUCUAAGAAUCCAAUGAUGUCUUUGGCUUCUAGACAUAUUAUUUAACGAAGAGCCAUUACAUGACAAUGGAAUAUGGACUUGGAUGUGUCUUUUGGUAACCCAUCUUUGUCACAAGACAACUGAAGAUAAACAAAUACUGAAGGCAGGCAGCAUAUCCGUGGAAAAAUCUCCACCAUAGGAACAAAACAAUUUUUUUUUUAAUUUUUUUUUUAUAAUAAGAUAACAUUAGUGAGAAUUGAUGAUCUUGUCCUUUCAAAAUUGUUGUGAUAUUGGAUGACUACUACUGCCAUAUUAUUUAAGGAUAGGCAUGAUAUAUCAUUGAUAAAUGGAGGUUUUUGUCGUCUGUGUUUGUCCACGUUUUUUUGUUAGAAAAAGGAAGAAAAAAUAGACAAAGACUUGGUUAAUAACCCCUGGUAUAAGUGCUAAUAAAAAACCAUAUGAUGGAACAAACCCUAUUAACCGUCUAGUACAACAUUAUAAAGUUGUUCCCAAGCCUCUGUUCAAAACAUUCUCAAACAUGGAAAUGAAGCAGCUGAACUUAGUUGCCUUAUCCUUUGCUUUCAUCACUAUCCUAAUAUAUGCAUGGAGGGUACUGAAUUGGAUGUGGUUGAGGCCGAAAAGGCUAGAGAGGUGCCUUAAACAGCAAGGCCUGGCUGGAAAUUCUUACAGGCUGUUGUAUGGGGACUUCAAAGAAAUGUCCAUGAUGAUAAAAGAAGCAACUUCAAGACCCAUCAGCAUCUCCGAUGAUAUUGUGCAACGUGUCGCACCCUUUCAUUACCAUUCCAUCAAGAAAUAUGGUAAGCAUAUGGAUUUCUGAUUUCCAUCAAGAAAUAUAUAUGCAUGUGUAAGGUAUUAAGACAUGCACUUUUCUUUUUAAAAUUAGUGUCCAGGUUAAUGCUAAAAAUAAUGCCUAGUAUUAUUACUUUUGUAAAAGAAAUAUUUCAUUAGUAUUAAAAAAAAUAGUUGAUUUCUAAUUCGAUAGUUUUAAUGAAUUUUAUUUACAAAAGAAAGUUUUGAUUUAAAAAAUGCUUUAACUUCAUUUAAAGAAAAUGCUUUUAAAAAAUUUAUUUACAAGAAAAUAAAUGUUAUUACUUUUGCAAAAGAAAUAUUUCAUGAGUAUAAAAAAAAUAGUUGAUUUCUAAUUCGAUAGUUUUAAUGAAUUUUAUUUAUAAAAGAAGGUUUUGAUUAAUUUAAAUAAAAAAUGCUUUGAUUUCAUUUAAAGAAAAUGCUUUUAAAAAAUUUAUUUACAAGAAAAUAAAUAUUAUUACUUUUGCAAAAGAAAUAUUUCAUGAGUAUAAAAAAAAUAGUUGAUUUUCAAUUUGAUAAUUUUAAUGAAUUUUAUUUAUAAAAGAAGGUUUUGAUUAAUUUAAAUAAAAAAUGCUUUGAUUUCAUUUAAAGAAAAUGCUUUCAAAAAAUUUAUUUACAAAAAAUAAAAAAUAAAAAAUACCAUAAUUCCCACGUGAAACAGUUCAGUGUUAAAACUUCAUAUAAAAAAAAAUACCAUGAAUGAUUCUACUUCAUUUAUAAAUGAAAGAAUUUCCUAGGAAGAAAAUACAAAAAAUUAAAAAUAAAAUAAUAAUAAUAAUAAUAAUAAUAAUAAAUUUAUUUAUAAUAAUAAUAAUAAUAAUAAAACCUCAUAUAAAAAAUUAUUCCACCAUUUAAAAAUAUUUUAUAAAUGUAAAAGUAUCUUUUAUAAUUUAAAUUUUUCUUUAAUAAUAAUUUUUUUUUAGACUUUAUUUUAUUUACAAAAGGAUGAUUUCCACAACUCUUUAUUUAGAAAGCAAAGAAAUUAUUAUUCUUAUUUUUUUUAAACAUAAUCAAUUUUAUAAAUAAGAUAAACAAUUAUUUUAUAUUUUAAUCCAAGAAAAAAAAAGUUUAAAAUAAUUUAAAUAUUACGUUUUUUUUUUUAUUUGAACAAAGCUAUCAUAAAUGGUAUCAUUAUUAAAAGUUAUAUAUAUUUAUGCACUCACUCUGCCAUCAUUUGAGAACUUUUGGGAAAGGAGAUUAAUUAUAGGAUAUGACAAAUGAAUCAACCUAAAAAAAAACAUUUCAAAACACUUGUUAAAAAAGAAAUUGAUGUUUCAUUUUUUUUAGUUAAAAAAAAGGGGGGUUUCACAAUCAUCCACUACUCAAUCUCCUCAUGGUUGCCAUGUUUCCAACACACUCAUUUCAUUUCAAUUUUUUUUUUCUUUAUUCAAUAAACACCCAAACUUCCAAACACAUACUCCAUAGCCGGCUGCACCUCCAUUGAUUUUUCCAGUUUUUGUUUUUCCAUCCAAACACUUAAAAAAACAUGGUUUCAUAAUCAUCCACUACACAAACUCCCUUAUGGCUGCCAUGUUUCCACACGAUCAUUUCAUUUUAUUUUUUCUUUAUUCAAUAAACACCCAAACUUCCAAACACAUACUCCAUAGUUGACUACACCUCCAUUGAUUUUUCUGGUUUUUGUUUUUCCAUCCAAACACACCGCCACUAAUCUUUAUAUCUCCAUGAACACUCACAUGAAACUCUACUUUAAAUCCCAUUAUAGCCGACCAUAUAUUCACAUUCAUGUUUGGAUUUAAGAAAAAUUAAACUCAAAACCCAUUAGCGAAAUUCAUACUCAACCAUCCACUUUCACAUUCAUUUGUUUUUUUAAAUCAAACAAAACAAAAUCAAAGAACACUAACCUUGCUUGUGGCUACCCUAUUUCACAGCUGUGUCACUUUUCCUUUCGAUCUAGCUUGUGUGUGUUCCUCCCCCAUAAAGAAUCCUCGAAUCAGCCUAUGCGUCCUCCUAAAGCUCCCCCCAGAAACGUGUUCUCCAUGUCCAUAAUUUUCUUUUGAAUUUCAUUAAAAAAUCAACCAAAAUUCCUCUAGAACCGUGUUUAGAAUCUCCCUAAGAAGUCCUUCAAUCUCUCUUCAAGCCCUCGCUAAAAAAAAAAUUAAAAAAUCCCUUUCUAACGUGCCCAGAAUCGUCUUACUCUCAUCCCCCUUGGAAUGGUAAGUCUUCUUUUCAUGUAACGCUCACUAUUUCCUUCAUCCAUGCACGUGAUGUUCUCCCAACUCUUCCUUGUAUUUUCCCAUAAAACCGACUUCAUUCAUUCACCAGAACGCUAGAGAUCCCUCUUUCACGUGCUGCUGAAUCACCCUUUACCCUCAUGGUGAAUACGUGCUAUCCAUUUUUAAGUCCCCCACAUCACUUUCCAAUGGUGGUUGCGUGUGGACCUUCCUUGCAGAUUUUCUCCAACUCUCCCAAAUCCAUAGGUGCCUUUAAAAGACACUCUUCUUUCCAUCAUGAUUUUUCAUUCCAAAAAAUACAUAGCCGAUUGACCUUCUCUUUCCUUAAAUCUAACCUUGAUUCCCCAUUCCCAAAUAUGUAAUCGUUUCCUCAUGCAAAACAAAAUAAAAUAAACUUAAAAAAGUAAAUAAAUAAAAAAAACUAAUGAAAAUCAUGAGAUUGAUAAAUAAAAUAAAGGAAGACUAAAUUAAAAAAAAAAAAAGACUAAAUUACAUAAUUCGAUGACUUAAUAAUGCAACCACAUGCAUAUUUAAAGUCAAAGCAAUUCAAGCAAUUUUCUAUCAAAUAAGCAAAUAAAAAAAAAGUAAAAAAAAUAAAUAUAAUUAUUAAAUGCAUGCAAUAAUAAUAAAAAGAUAAAAAAAUAAAAAUAAAUAAGAUAAAAUAAAAUAAAAAUAAAAAUAAAGCACGUGCUAGUCAUACAAGCCAUGCAACCCUACUUGCCAUGCAAACCAUGCAUCCAUGCAAAAAAAAAUGAGUUAAAUCGGCCUAAGUGGACCUCAAGUGGUGCCUAAUUGGCCUAGGGUGCCUAAGUGGGCCUAGGGCGCCUAAGUGGGCCUAGGGUGCCUAAGUGGGCCUAGGAUGGUGCCUAAGUGAGCCUAAGGUGCCUAAGGGGCCUAGGGUGCCUAAAUGAUCCUAAGUCUAAAUAGGGCUACCAAGAGUCACAAUGGACUUGAUUGAGCAAGGCAUGGAGAAGGGCUUAGAGGAUCUAAGAGAGUAGAUCCAAGAUCUUCAUGAGGGGGUGCUAGGCUCACAAGUUCAUCCGGUGCCACACGAGGAGUUCAUGUCUUUCCAAGACAAGGUCAUGAACAUGUUCGCUAGUGUGGAGUUAAGGGUGGAGGCCUUGGCUGCGCGCAUGGAGGCCCGAGACCAGGAAAUUCGACAAGAGUUGGCCAUUUACAAGACUGCGGUAUCAGCACGAGUCAUGGCCACUCAUGGGGCACCAAGGGUGGAGGUGCCUAAGCCACACACGUUUAGUGGCAAGAGGGAUGCCAAGGAGCUGGAUAACUUCUUGUGGCACAUGAAGCGCUACUUUGAGGCUAUCGCACUAACGGAUGAAGCCACUAAGGUACGCAUCGCGACCCUCUACCUCACUGAUAAUGCUACUCUAUGGUGGCGUCGAAGGUUUGCCGACAUAGAAAAAGGGACGUGCACCGUAGACACAUGGGAUGCCUUUAAGCGAGAAAUCAAAAGGCAAUUCUACCCUGAAGAUGUGGCUUACCUAGCAAGAAAGAAUAUGAAGCGUCUCAAGCACACGGGCUUAAUCCGUGAGUAUGUCAAAGAGUUCUCUACGCUUAUGCUUGAGAUACCUAACAUGUCCGAGGAAGAGCUACUAUUCAACUUCAUGGACAACUUGCAAAGCUGGGCUGAGCAAGAGUUGAGGAAACAUGGUGUCCAAAACCUAGCCACGACCAUGAUGGUAGCAGAGUCCUUGGUAGAUUAUAGAAAGGAAGACUCUUCCAAGCCUAAGCCACCAUCCAAGGGUAACCAGGCCAAAGGUGGGGGAGACAAGGGAUCACGAGGCUACACUUCUAAGGAAUGAUCUAGCAAAGGCCCUAGUGGCAAGGAUGGCAAAGGCAAAGAUAAGCGGAAGGAGUUCACGCCCAAGACCAAUUGCUUCCUAUGUGAUGGUCCACACUGGGCAUGAGACUGUCCUAAGAGGAAAGCCCUAAAUGCUAUGAUCAAGGAGAAAGAGAAUGAGGGUGAUGCUCAGGUGGGGUUGUUGCAACUCCUAAACGCCCUUAAGGCCAAGCCGAUACCUAAGACGCCUCAAAGCAAAGGGAUAAUGUAUGUAGAGGCGCCCUUGUGAAUGGGAAAGCCCCCAAGGCCCUGGUGGACACUAGUGUCACUCAUAACUUUGUCUCAGAGGAUGAGGCAAAGAGGCUGGAGCUCCAAGCAUCCAAAAAAGGAGGUUGGCUCAAGGCAGUUAAUUCAGCUGCCAAGCCAUCACAUGAAGUAGCUCGCGGGGUGACUAUGCACAUCGGCUCAUGGGAAGGAAGAGUCAACUUCACAGUGGCACCCAUGGACGACUUCAAGAUUGAGCCGAUGUUGGCACUACCCGACCACACCAAGGUUUGAGGUACACACGGAUGCCUCAGACUUUGCUAUAGGGGGAGUCCUUAUGCAAGAAAGACACUCGAUCACCUUUGAGAAUCGCAAGCUAAAUGAGACGGAGAGGCUCUACACGAUGCAAGAAAAGGAGAUGACUGCCAUUGUCCAUUACUUGCGCACUUGGAGGCACUAUCUUCUAGGGUCUCACUUCAUAGUGAAGACCGAUAACGUGGCCACUAGCUAUUUCCAAACACAGAAGAAGCUAAGUCCCAAGCAAGCUAGGUGGCAAGACUUCUUGGUCGAGUUCGACUAUACGUUGGAGUAUAAGCUAGGAAGUGCUAAUCAUGUGGCCGACGCCCUAAGCCGUAAAGCGGAGCUAACAUCCAUGACGAGCCAGCCCCAAGGAGACAUAAUGGAUCUUCUAAGGGAGGGGCUGCAACAUGAUCCAAUGGCUAAGAGCCUUAUCACCCUGGCUCAUGAAGGGAAAACUAAGCGGUUCUGGGUGGAGGACGACCUACUCUACACUAAGAGAAGACGACUUUAUGUGCCUAAGUGGGGGAACAUAAGGCGGAAUCUAAUUAGGAGUGCCAUGAUACCAAGUGGACUGGGCACCCCCGGUAAUGACGCACAAGGGCACUACUUGAGUCAGCUUACUAUUGGCCUUAAAUAAAGGAUGAAGUUGAGGCCUAUGUGAGGACUUGUCUUGUAUUCCAACAAGACAAAGUGGAACAACGACAACCUAAAGGCUUGUUGGAACCACUACCGAUAGCACAGCGCCCAUGGGAUAGUGUCACCAUGGAUUUCAUCAUCAAGCUACCCAAGUCGGAGGACAACGACUCUAUCAUAGUAGUAGUGGACAGGUUCUCUAAGUAUGCAACCUUCAUAGCAGCCCCGACCGACUGCACUGCGGAGGAGACGACAAGGCUAUUCUUAAAGCACGUAGUCAAGUAUUGGGGGUUGCCUAAGUAUAUCAUUAGUGAUCGUGACCCACGAUUCACUAGGAAGUUUUGGACAGAGCUCUUCAAGCUUAUGGGUUUGGAGCUUCACUUCUCCACAAGCUUUCACCCACAAACGGAUGGGCAAACUGAGAGGGUGAACGCCUUAUUGGAGCUAUACUUAAGGCACUUCGUGAGUGCCAACCAGAAAGAUUGGGCUAAGUUGCUAGAUAGAGCCCGUUCGAGCUAGCCACAGGGCAGCAACCGUUAACUCCUCACACUCUAACGAUAGGCUAUACGGGGAGAAGUCCAACGACUUUCAAGUUCGCCAAGGGGUGGCACGAGCAAGCUGACAUAACACGUUCAUACUUGGACAAGGCCACCAAGAAAAUGAAGAAGUGGGCAGACAAGAAGCGACGUCACACAGAGUACAAGGUCGGAGACAUGGUGCUUGUCAAGCUCCUUCCUCAACAAUUCAAAUCCCUAAGGCCGGUGCAUAAGGACCUUGUGAGGAGGUAUGAAGGACCCUUCCCCAUACUUGGGAAGGUCGGCAAGGUGUCCUAUGGGGUUGAGUUACCACCAAGGUUGAAGAUUCAUCCCGUCUUCCACGUAAGUUACUUGAGACCAUAUCACGAAGACAAAGAUGAUCCAAGUCGAGGGUUUUCUAAGAGGGCACCUAUAGCAGUUGUGACCUCCUAUGACAAGGAGGUGGAACACAUCAUUGCAGACUGAGUCAUUAGGAGACGAGGUGUGCCUCCUACUACGGAGUACUUAGUGAAAUGGAAGGGACUACCGAAUAGUGAGGCUAGUUGGGAGCCAGUAGAUGCACUAUGGCAAUUCCAGGAGCAAAUUGAGCGGUUCUGGGCAAAAGGCGCGACAAGGACGUCUGCGGCUUAGGUGGGGGAGAGUGUCACAGGAUGCUUCAAAUGAGCCUCCCCAUGGGUUUAUAUAGAGCCUAGGAAGCUUUUGGAGACUCCUACACUUAGCCAUUUGUGGGAAGAGUGUGGAAGAUUCUAGAAAUGCCUAGAGAAGUCCACACAUCUCUACAUUAUGAUGGGAGGCAUGAGAGGAGUCUAGGGCUUUCUAGAAAAUUCUAGAGGUCUCUUGUACAUAGGCUUGUACAUAGAAUGAUGUAGGACAUUCUAGAAUAUUCUUGAAUUGUAAGGAACCCUCCAAGGUUCCAAAGAGUUCCAUUGGUGCCUAUAAAUAGGUGAGGGCCUCAUUUGGCCAAGAGACACCAAGCAAGUGAGUUCCUAAAGCACUUGUAAAGGCUUCCUUAAGUAAUAAAAAGCUUCCAUUCCUUAAGAGUUGCCUACUACGCCUUCUCAAGCUUUCAAGUCGUGAGCAUCCUAGCCUAGCAAGCUAAGCGUUGGGAAUAAGGUUGACUUAGCAAGAUCAAGGGUCUUGGCUUGUCUAAGUGUCGCACAAGCUUAGGAAAAGACUAAGUCCGUGACACUAAGGUGCCUAAGGGGCCUAGGGUGCCUAAAUGAUCCUAAGUCUAAAUAGGGCUGUUAAGAGUCACAAUGGGGUUAGGUAAAUCCCUCAACCAAAGUCUCCAAGGUGGCUUAGAAAAUAUAGGCUACACGAGUAGCAAUGAGCCACUAGGAAAUUGUUGUAAAGUAUCGAACAAAUACCUAGUAGGACAUGUGCUAGGAGAACAAAAUGGAGGGUCUACAACAUGUGAAAAGAGCACCCUGAAUCAGGUAUCCACUCCUUGCCCGAGUCCACUUCUACCACAUUCAGCACCUUAGCAUUGUCAUAUCCAUCCAAAAUCAUGGUUUUCUUGAUUGUGUUUUGUCUCCUAUCCGGGCAAUCCUUCUUGAAGUACCCUUCCUUGUGAUAGAUAAAAUAAUUGAACUUCUUGGUCUUGCAUUUUGAUCUAUCCCUUGAAUUCUUGCCAUUCUUUUCUCGUUUGUCAAAUCUGUCCUUGAUGUUUAAACCCUCACCCGACUCAUCCUUGGAUUCUUCUUGUUUUUGUAAUUCUCUAACAUGCAAAAUGGACUGUACCUCAUCAAAGGUCAGGCUGUCUCUCCCAUACAUUAUGGCCUCUUUCAAGUUAGUGUAUGAUGCAUCUAAAGAAGUCAGUAACAAAAUUGAUUUAUUUUCAUUUGAUACUGUAAUAUCAAUAUUUUCCAAAUCCAAGAUUAUCUUAUUGAAGUGAUCAAGAUGCUCUUCAAUUGACAUACUCGGGGUCAUCUUGAAUGUGUAUAACUUGAUCUUCUUAUGUAAUCAGUUUGCUAAUGACUUGGUCAUGUAUAGGCUCUCUAGCUUGAGCCACAACUCAGCUGUAGACUUUGCUUUGGCCACCUUUCUCAGCACAGUAUCACCCAAAGAAAGAAUGAUGGCACUGUGAGCUUUCUCCAACAACUCUGCCUUCUCAUUUUCUUGCAUGGUACUUGGGAGGUUUUUCUCUGCAAGUAAGGCAUCUUGGAGCCCCUGUUGAACCAACAAUGCCCUCAUCUUUAGUAUUCAUAACCAAAAUCAUUUCUGUCUGUAAACUUUUCUACAUCGAACUUUACAGUCCCCAUUAUAACCCAAAGGCCCUGAUACCAAUUGUUGUAGAAACAAUCUUGAACUAGGGACUGAUAGAGCAAAAACUAAACUAGAAAGAGAUUACCAGUUUACAAAGAACUUCUCUUAGGAAUAAAAUCAAAUAGCUUACACACAAUCAACCAAGAUCAAGAACACAAGAGAAUUAUCGUGGUUCAAUCAACUUGAUCUGCAUCCAUAUUGAGUUCCUAAAGCCUUUAUUAAACUAUACCAAUCAGAGUUUACAAAAGAAUAAUAAUAAUAAAAAAAAUUACAGUUUUUCCCAAGAACCCUCCUCACCUUUGUUUCUUCCUAUACAAGAAAACCGAAACAGACCUAUGGUUAUGGAUUUACAAAGCUCUCUUCUUUUCUUGUUCUCUAUUCUAUACAAUUGAAUGCUCUGAUCCAGUUUUCUAGAGUUUGCACUUUAUAUAACAAUCAAAAACUCUAACUAACUAAUAAUACUCCCAUGAUAGUGUUAUUUCCUACCCAGGUCAGCAAGCUUUUUGUUUGUUAGUUGAGCUUAGUCAACAGCCUUGCCACUUGUCACUUGAUAGUUGGCAAACUCUACAGAGCUCAGUCUUUAGAAUGAAUACUCAAAGUCUCAAUUUGAGAGUUUACGAGUUGUUCUUUCGGAACCUGAUGGAUUCUCACUCUUUGGGUCCAAGGUCCCUUAGAAAAGAAAUUUGAGAGACAACACCAUGAUAGCUUUUGUCUGAGAUAACAUGUUGGUUCCAUGGACAUAACACUGAUCAAAGCUGUGCCAUAAUGAGAAUAAAGGAGUGUAAGAUUGCAUCUUCUAAUCUUCUACCAUGACGCAAGAGAGUGACAUAAGGCUUUCAAAGGUUCCAGGCUAUCAAAGUGGUAGAACUAGCAUGGACUUCACCAAUAUCUCUCCACCUCCCGGACCCCAUGUAUGCAUGGCCAUGCACGACCACCUUGAUUCUAGAUGAGACUCUAGAAGUUUUUAUAUAAGCUUCAAGAAACUAUUGGCAAUCACCUGGACUUUGGUUCCAAGUAUAUCCACCCAGUUGUCCUUCAGCUUAGUUAAUCUCUCCCUUAUCUUUUGGUUGUGAUAUUUUGUUGUUGUCUUUAAAGCUUCCCAGAAAUCUAUGGGUAGGGGAAAUGAUAACUUAGAACUUGUUUAUUGAACAAAGUAUAGUCAAAGUGGUUUCAACUAUUUUGAGCAUUGUAGUGCUUGAUUUUGAUUCAAAUUAUGAAAUCAUCUAUAUGGGGUUACAACCUUUGGGAAAUGUUUCAUUGGCUAGAGAAAGACAUUAACAAGCCAUUUGGCAUCACUUCUUCCAACAAAAUUUCUUGGGCCUACAAGAGUCUAAACACGGGAAAACUAGUGAUCCCUUAAGGCAAAAUGAGAGAGCUUCAAAUCAAAGCAUGCCUUAGGUCCCAUGAAAAGGAGUGCAGGUUCUUUCAACUGGACCUAGAAGCAUUGCUCCAAAUUCUAUAGAGUCUCAUACCAGGAACUAGAAAAGCAAUUUCUAUGAUUAAUGCUCCACCAUAAAAAACAACAAAUAUAAAAAAUAAAUUCAAAGAGAGUUAGCAACAAUACAGGGAAUUUGAUCUAAAACUAGAUUUUGUUGCUUCACCGCAAGCUUCUGUUGAUGAUUCGAGUUAUGGUUAUGAGAAGCCAAACCUACUAGUAAUCUACAGAAGACUCCUCAUGCAACCACAAGCAAUGUAGUCCCAAUCACACACCCGGGUCUCACUCUAACUUGGUCACCUUAGUGCAUAUCAUCCUCCUCCUAAUGUAAUCUUAUACAUUUUAAAUUUGGAUUUCAAAAUCUUUUUCAUUAAAACAAUUUUAGUUUUCUUAAAAUUUCAUCCUUAAGAGAUUUUAGAAAAUAAAAUUCAGUUUUUAAAAACACUUGCUUCCAUAUUCAUUCAGUAAGCACCUUUCUCAAUUUAUUUUAUAAUUUUAUUGAUUUUCAAUAAGCAUAAACAAACUUCAUGGUUCCAAAUAAUGGAAUAUUCAUAGAAUUAAUUCAUGCAAAAUUAAUUUGGGCCUUGGUGGGGUCCAACAUCCAUUAUAUCUUCUUUGAUUUGAUUCAAGAGAGAUAUUUGUUUGAUAUUUUGAUUGAUAUUAAUCCUCUUCAUGAUACAUAAAAUUGUUUUACACAUGUUAUUGAGCUAACCUUGUUUCCCAUAAAGCACUUAGCUUGUUGCCCAAGUACGCUCCCUACCACCUCAUUUUCAAAAUGCCAUGAAUAUGCAUGUCAUUGCCCUUGUUUGAAUGUUGUCUUUGAUUGCCUUGACAUUUGCUUCAUUAUCUCCUAUAAAAUGCAUGUUGAAUAAUAUAUUAUUCAAACUAACUUUAAUUUCUUAUGAUAGCACUUAAGAAGCAAUCCAAAUACACACCCUAACUCUUCUUUAUGAUUGUGAUUGACUUUCUUGUUUGACAUGCUGAUUUUGAAAUCACUUUAGCCUAUCUAGCUAUCCAUAAUUAAUUGAUUCAUUGUCAUAUUUCCCUUGACUUAGCCAAUAGAGACUUCUUUAGGGCUUAGAGGUACCUUCCCAAUAGGUAACCUAAUCCCUGGACCUAGACUCGGGCUUUUCGAAGACAUGCCUUUCCAAAACUUUGGAGUCACUUUUUUUUUUCUUAGGUUUUUUUUCUUACUUUAUUUUCCCUUUUAAAAUAAAAUAAAAUAAGUGGUAACUCCGAAUUUUCCAAAAUUUAUUUUUCACCUUUAAAAAACGAGUCUCGCUAAUAGUGGGGACACAUGUAAAAAAUGUGGGUCCAUAGAACCCUAACCUCUAGCCUUAAGAUCUAUACUAUCUUAGUGCCUAGACUCAAAGAAGAGUCAUUAGGUGCAAGAUCCUUACAUUUACGAGAUCUGCUACAACUUUAGAGUAUUUUACACCAAAAGGAUUUGAUUUGGGAACAUCUAAAUCCCAAGUAUGACACUAAUAUCUAGAUCUUUGGUAUUUUUUUUUUUUUUUUUGGUUUUUAAUACUGUGUUUCCACUAUGCUUGGAUCUAGAGAAGCCUAGGAUAGGAUUUCAUACACUUUAACUAUUUAGGGUCAGGGAAUGGAGCAAUCCAGGAUUUCCUAACAAUUUGGAUACCAAAUAUCAUAUAAGAAGGCAUCCAAAUCCAAGUUUAAAGCACUUACUGACUUAUUUGGUGAUUUUUAUGUUAUAUGUACAGUUGUCAUAUUUUUUCAUUGCCUUAGAGUAGGAAAAUCUAUGACAUGUUGUAAUUUCAAAAACAUUUCCUAGUAAUAGAAUAAAGAGCUAUUUCAAUGAGUUAUUUAGGCAUUUCAUCCAUCCAUAGAAGGCUUCAAGCAUUGUCACCCCAUAUUGAGUAUUGAUGGUACAUAUUUGCAUGGGAAGUAUAAGGGCAAUUUAAUGAUUGCAAUAGGGAUGAGUUUCUCAAGGUGAAUGUACUAGUGUGUAUAGUUACACACUAGAUAGGACAUAUGAUGAGUCAUGACUUAAGGCUAUCAAGUAGUCAUGACUUCACUAAGCUACUUCAUUGUGUUGUCUUUCAACCUUGAGAGAAUAUUGAGCUUGUACUAAAGUUAGCGAUGGCUUUGACCUAUGGAUGAGAUCACAAGUAGAUCACAUAUUCCCUAUAGAUUGGGUCAUUGUUGAUGGAAGUUGGUAGCAAUAGAUAUUCUCAAUAGAGACACUAUGAUAUCUCAUAAGAUUAAGACAAUGUGUCCCCUUAGGUGAUCCUAAAGAGGCAUGUUCAUAAAAACUAUGGUCACAAUAGUUCCUUAAGUGGAACUUAACAUUAUCAAUUAGAAAGAUAAGAUAUGUCAGUUGAACAUAAAAUAGGAGGACCUGUAAUUCAAGGAUAGUAGAAGUAGUGUUAAAAGAUUAAUACUUUUCACCUUGUUAAACGACAAACACUAGUUCAUGGGGAGACUGAAUGCAAUGGAUGACAGGUUAUGGACCUGAGCAUAUGGUGUCUUGUUAUUUACAUAGGAUAUUGGAGUUCAGUUGAUUUUUUGUAGUGAGAUGUUAAAUCAACCUCAAAAUUGGAUUCUAAGGGAACUGGUACUCUUAUGGGUCCCAGUGGUCUUUGUUCUAAGCUCAUAUACCGUUUUGACACGAGUUAUGGGGGUUGGAUCAAGGAUGAAAAUAUCCAUAAUUACGGAUAUAUCGGUACUUCAAUUUUACGGAUAUAUUAGAGAAAUAUUAGUGGAUAUUUUGACACAAAAUAUCAGAAGGACAAAACAUUAAUCAAACUCAUAGAAAUGUAAGAAAAAAACUCUUAAAAAUGACAUUAAAAGUAUAAUAGACACUUUUAAGUUGUUUUUUUUUUUGAAGAAAUUAAUGCAUACAUAAUAUAAUUUAUAAUAUUUAACAAUAAUGUUAAUAAGUUAAAGACAUAUUUUAUAUACAUCUAUCUAAUUUGGAUAUAUUCAAUGACAUAAAAGGAGUGAUAAUACAUGCAUAAGUAUUUUUUUUAUUAAUUAAUUUAUAUUUAUUUUGUAUUUAAUUAUUAUACAAAAUAUAUGAUAAUUAAAAUUAAUGAAUUUGUAAUAAUUUGAUUCUAAUUAAUUUAUGAUAUCUAUAUACGCAAAAAUGUAUUAAUUUAUAAACCUAUAAUUUUUAAUAUGUAAUUAUAUAUAUAUAUAUAUAUAUAUAUAUAAAAGUAUUAAGAAAUUUAUCAUUGGAAUAUCAUAUAGAAUAAUUUUAAUGUUAUAUAAUAAACAUAUGUUAAUAAAAUAAUAAAUACAUAAAUUGAUUUGGUGGCAUGGCCUUCCUCUUUCAAAUGUGAGGUCUUAGGUUCAAAACCUUCCAUCACACUCUAAAAUUUAAUUUUCCUCAAAAUUGAAAUGUAGCUUGUGACGCAUUGAAGUAUUGGGCUAGAUAGGAGACUAAAUUGAAAUGCAGCUUGUGACACACUAAAGUGUUGGGCUAGAUGGGAGACUAUAACCUAGGGCCCAUAGGGUUGAUAAUAUGAAAUGUAUAGGUGGCGAGAAACUAUAAGUUGGGGCCCAUAAACCAAUUUUGGGUGAUUUUUCCAAAAAAAAAUUUCUAAAAAUUGGUGAUUUAUUGUUGAAAUAUCAACGAAAAAUGCAACCAACGCGGAUUAAAUGAAAAACUCGACAAUUUAUCGCCAUAAAUUGAUAUACCAACGAUUUAUUCAUGAUUUUUUCUGAAAUUUUGUCUCUUCGAUAUAUCACCACCCAAUAUAGUUUCCAUGUUUCUCGAUACAUGACAUGUCAUCAAUGUUUAUUGAAAAUUUUAUCCUUGACUCAAUCAACUCCAUUGCACCCUACACAUAUGGAGACAUUCUAGCUUGAAUAGAUAGAUUAGAAAAAUAUGUCUUUAUAUUGUAGGUGUUUGGAGAUAAAGAGGAAGGCCCAUCAUAUGGCACUCAUUGGGGAUUGUUUUUUUUUUUUUUGGUUGAUUUUCAUUUGUAUUAUAUUGUUUAAUUUUUUUUUUAUGAACCAAUUAUUAUAUAUUUAAAUGAAAAUAUGAUAAAUUUUAAACUUAAAUUGAACUUACAUACAUUGGAUAUUAUAUAUCACUUACAUGAUACUAUAUAAAAAUUAAUUAACUAAUAUAAUAAUUUAUAGUGACAAUUUUUUUAAUAAAUUAAACAAAAAUAUUUUUAUAUCAAAUUAAAAAUACCAAUCAUUUAAUUCACACACACGCACACACACAUAUAUAUAUAUAUAUAUAUAUACAUAAGCUUAUUAACCACUUACAUAUUAAUAAAAAGAAAAUAAGAAAUAAUAUAAUAAAUUUAUGAUAUUAAAUUUAUUUUUAAAAUUUAAAAUAAAACAACAAAAUUUAAGUCAAGUGCAAAAUAGCAGUCAACAACUAUGACUUUAAAUUUAAGCUUGAAACCGUAGUUUGUGACUACAACUUUAAAAUCAAGUUCAAAACCAUAGUCAUCAAUUACAACUUUAAAUUUAAACUUGAAAACAUAGUUGGUGACUACGAUUUUGAAGUCAAGUUCAAAACUAUAGUCACCAACUACUCUAUUAGGCUUAAAUUUAAAAUUGUAGUUGGUGACUACAGUUUGGAUUAUUUAUAAAAAAAAAAAUUAAAACCAUAAUUGUUGAGAAACCCCAAAUUUCUCCAUUCCCAAGCCUUGGAUCAUUAAGGUAAAUGUAAUCCUAUCCUAGGUUCUCUAGAUCUAAGAAAAACAUAAAUAAUGACAUUUGAAACUAACAAUAAUACCAUAUAUCUAGAGAAAAAUGUCAUACUAUGAUUCGAAUGUUCUAGGAUUGAUUUCUGUUAGUGUAGAAUACUUUAAAUUUCAUAGAAGAUCUUGUAAACUCAAGCUCCAAAUGAUCAAUUAGCCCAAUCCAAAUAUACCACUUACUUAUCCUUGUGCAAUUUUGCAUAAUUACCAAAUGUCUUUAUGCACACAAGUGAACUAAAAACCCAUCUAACCCUUAUAAACAAUGUUAUUAAGGAAUAUGAGUUCAAGUGGGGACCAUUAGGACCCAUAAGAUAGUAUUAGCCUCCUCAGAAUCUAAUUUUGAAGUUGACCUAAUAUCCUACUACCAAUAAUUAAUUGCACUCUAGUAUCCUAUGUAUACUACAACAAGACAUCAAGUGUUUGGGUUUGUGAUCUGCUAUCCACUAUAUAUAGUCUCCCCAUGAGUUGGAUGUUCGUAGUCUAACAAGGUGUAAGCUAUAAACCUUUUAAGACUAUCUAUACCAUCCAUGAGUUAUAGAUUCUCCUAUUAUGUGAUCAAAUGACAUAUUCUAACUCGUUAAGAGCAUAUCUCAAAUUUCACUAAAGGAAUUACUUUAGGCCCACAGAUUUCAUGAGCAUACGUCCUUAAGAUCACCCAAGGUGACCCACUAUCUCAAAGUCUAUGAGAUAUCAUGGUGACUCUAUUGAAAAUACUUAUUCUAUUGACUUCCAUUAAUAGUGACUCAAUCCAUAGAAAAUAUAUGAUCACUUUAGGAUCUCAUCCGUAGGCAAAAGCCAUCUCUAACUUCUGUAUAAGCUCAAUAUUCUCUCAAGGUUGAGAAAUAAUACAGUGUAGCAACUUGGGGAAGUCAUGACUACUCGAUAGCCUUAUGUCAUCACUCACUAUAGGUCUUAUCCAAUGUGUAACCAUACACACCAGUGCACUCACCAUGGGAACCCUAUCCUGAUAGCAAAAGCCCACUAUCCCUCUAAUUAGAUGGUAGUGCACUAGAGCCUCAAAUAGAUUGCUUAAGUCCACGAACCAACUUACUAUCUAAUAGCACUACCUCAAAUACACUACACACUAGUGCAUCACCUCUAAUUAGGAGAUUGUGUAUCAACUUGGUGAAGUUAUGACUAUCCGAUAGCCUUAUGUCAUGACUUACUAUAGGUUCCAUACAAUGUAUAACCAUACACAUUAGUACAUUCACCAUAGGAAUCUCAUCUCAAUAAUUAAGACUAGUUAUCUCUCUAAUUAAAAGGUAGUGUACUACAACCUCAAAUGGAUAUUUACCUAAGUCUAUGAAUCAUUUUUUAAUAUAUCAUCUACUUGCAAGGAACUCAUGACUUGAAUCUUCCAUGCAACUCCUAAUGUUUUUAAGUCAUGUACAAUGCAAGAGAUGUUAGGCCAAAAUGCUCAUAAAGUAUAAUGGAUGGAAUAAGAAUAGAUAAAAGUGAAAUUGGAACAUUAUUAAAUGAAUAAUGAAUUCCAAAUUUAUUACAUCAUGUCAUGCUUUUAAGGGUUCUUUUCUAACAAUAGUUACCAACUACAGUUUUAUGACAUAGAUGAUCACAUGGUUAAAACACAUUAGAUUGGGAAUUAUUUUAUUACUCAACUUAGUUUAUAGAUUUUUUUUUUUUUUUUUACAAUGAUUAUUUUUGGUUUCACUAACUACCCCCCUAUACACCCCCUAGUUUAUGUCAGCUAAUAACAAAAUAAGAGGAUCUGAUACUCAAGGAUAGUAGGGGUAAUAUAGAGAGGUUAAUAGCUUUUACCUUAUUAGAUUACAAACAUCGAUUCAUGAAGCGUCUAUAUAAAGUAGAUAGUAAGUCACAAAUUUGAGAAAUUAAAAAUUAGAUUUAAUCAAUUUAUCUCGAUGUGAUUUUAUUGGGCACUAAGUGUAUUUGAAUCUCUUGAGUGGAGUAUUGAGUUAAAUUCAAAAUUAGAUUUCAAGAGAGUCAUUAUUUUCCCAUAGGUCCCAAUGGUUUUGUUCAAACUGAUAUUCUAUGUUAACAUAAGGUUAUGAGAUUUUAUGGAGAAUUAAUAAUUUACAUGCAUAAGGGUGUUGGUAAUAGUAUAAGAUUACACAAGAAUUUAUGAUUAAUUAUUUUGAGUUUUUUUGGAUCAAGCUAAUUAAUUAUUGGAACUCAUUAGGAUUGAUGAAUUACUUAAGAUCUAGUGGGCUAGAUUUAGUAACUAAACCCAUCUUAGGCUAAAGUUAGUUAAACCUAAAAAAGAAUCUAUAUAAAGCCUUUAGCUUUUAAGAUUAGAUUUUAACUACUAUAAACAAAUCCUAGAUUUUUUCUCAACAAUCAAGAAAUCAUUACUAUCCAACAAAACAUGUGUUUGCGCUGAUUUUAUCUAUUUAUUUAUUGUGUAUUAACAUAGUACGCAGACCUACCACUAUGCAAUCAUAAACUUAAAAGAUGCGAUGAUGAUUAUCGAAAGAAUUAGGUAUCGAAAUGAUGCAUACAUCUUAAAAAAGUCCCACGUAGAGGGCAUAAAACAAUUACCGACUUCAAUGAUUACUACAAGGGAAACCAAUUUAAUUUGUUUUUAGUUAUCAUAAUUAAAACUUUGGGAUUAGUAUUGCCCAAUAUAGGUUGGGAGAUUGUCUCGGGAUGGGUGUCUCAUUGAACAUGAUAAAAAGAUAUAGCGAGAAGAUAUGACCACACACUCUCUAAUGGUUAAUUUAAGUGCUUGUCAGAUAUUGAGAUGGCUAAAACCUUUUUUGAUAUAUAAUGAUUUUUUUUUUUUUUUGUUAAUAAAUAUGUUUUCAAAUUUUAUAUCAUUUUUAUUUUUAUUUUUUUCCAAUUCUAUUUUUAUCCCAUAUUUAUUUUAUUUAAACCAAAAAUUGUUGAGAAGGGAGGAAGAAAGAAGGCCACCGGUUCUUCCCUUAACUGGUUAAAUGGAAUUUUUAUUUCAAAUUUAAAAUAGAUGGCCAAGAUGUAAUAUUGAACACCCAAUGGCUUAGAAAAACUUUUAGAUAGGUACCGAAGAGGUACCCUAGAAUUUUCCUUAGAAAAGAUAUAUGUAUUUGUCAUUUUCUUUUAUGUUGCCAAGAUUAGCCAGGUGUCCAGACCUACACUGAUGCAAGCAUAAACUCAAAGCUGCAAAGUUGAUUGAAUUGAUCAGGUCUUUCAAAUGAUACCUGCCUGCCUAGCAAGAAAAAGUAUUCAUGUCAGUUUCUAAGCAAAGAAAGGUAUUCAUAUUUGUUUCUAUGGCAUUGUAAAACUAUUACAAGCUUUUGUUUGUUUCUAUUUUCUUUAUUGGGCCCUUUACUUUCUUAAUUUUAUAAGUAUAUUUCUCUGGUAACCCAUCUUUGUCACAAGACAUAUUAUUUAGCGAAGAGCCAUUACAUGACAAUGGAAUAUGGCCUUGGAUAUGUCUUCUGGUAACCCAUCUUUGUCACAAGACAACUGAAGAUAAACAAAUACUAAAGGGAAGCAGCAUGUCCGUAGAAAAAUCUCCACUAUAGGAACAAAACUAUUUUUUAUUUUAUUUUAUAAUAAGGUAACAUUAGUGAGAAUUGAUGACUUGUCCUUUCAAAAUUGUUGUGAUACACAAAUAAAUGGAGGUUUCUGUCGUUUGUAUUUGUCUAUGGUUUUUUGUUAGAAAAAUAAAAAUAUAGACAAAGACAUAAUUAAUAAACCCCUGGCAUAAUUGCUUAUUAAUAAACCCCUGACAAAGACAAAGACAUAAUUGCAUAUUAUUUAAGGGUAGACAUGAUAUAUCAUUGCUUAUUAAUAAUUGCGUAAUGACGUGUCCGCGUUUUUUUUGUUAGAAAAAGGAAGAAAAAACAGACAAAGACCUGGUUAAUAAUUACUAAUAAAAAACCAUAUGAUGGAACAUUAUAAAGUUGUUCCCAAACCUCUCUUGAAAACAUUCUCAAACAUGGAAAUGAAGCAGCUGAACUUAGUUGCCUUAUCCUUUGCUUUCAUCACUAUCCUAAUAUAUGCAUGGAGGAUACUGAAUUGGAUGUGGUUGAGGCCGAAAAGGCUAGAGAGGUGCCUUAAACAGCAAGGUCUGGCUGGAAAUUCUUACAGGCUGUUGCAUGGGGACCUCAAAGAAAUGUUCAUGAUGAUAAAGGAAGCAUCUUCAAGACCCAUCAGCAUCUCUGAUGAUAUUGUGCAGCGUAUCGCACCUUUUCAGUACCAUUCCAUCAAGAAAUAUGGUAAGCGCAUGGAUUUCUGAUUUCCAUCAAGAAAUAUAUAUGCAUGUGUGAGGUAUUAAGACGUGAACUUCUCUUUUCAAAAUUAAUGUCAAGUUUAAUGCUAAAAAUAAUGCCUAAUACAAUUAAGAAAUUUUGAAUUUUGAAUUAAAAAUCUGAUUUUGGAAUAGGUCCUUAUGGCCUUUUUCUAUAACCUAGCUCCCACCAAUUUUGUGAACCAACCAAUACUUUUGACGUUGAUAUUCAAAUUUUCUUUUUUUUUAUUUUAUUGCAUUGAGAUGAAUACAUCCUACUUCUCAAUUUUUUUCUCUUAUGGCUUUUACAUCAGUAAUAGGGUUAAACACAUGCAAACAAACAAUUAUAUAAAUAAAGGAAUGUAGCUUUAGUCACUCUUAUUCAACUACUACAAAACCCAUUAUUUGUUAAAAAUAGAAAUCCUAACAUUAGAAAAAAAAAAAAAAAAAAAAAAAAAAAACUUCAACCAUUAAAAACAGAAAUCAAAUUAAAUCUGAUUUUUGGAAACUUCCUAACUCAAUUUACUUUCUAACAUGAUUAUUAUGACUUGCAUCUACCCCUGAAUUUCAAAACUUCAAGGUGAAGUUCUUGCAGAGUUAACCACCUGUCCUUACCAAAAUUUUUGUAUUCAUUGAAACUUAAAUUUGAUAUGCCCAGCAGGCUCCAAUGGGUGGUUGAAUGUUGUAUUAGUCUUCAUAAACAACACUUCAGCGUUUCCAUUUUUAUCAACGCAUCUAUAUUAGUGUCCAUCCUUGACCUUAAGUAGGUUUCUUACGUUUCAGUAAUGCCCAUAAAAAUGCAGGUAAAAGUUCUUUUAUAUGGAUGGGCCCAAAACCAAGGGUCAACAUUAUGGAGCCUGAACUGAUAAGGGAUGUUUUGUCCAUGCACACUGUCUUCCGAAAGCCAAGGGUUCAUGCACUUGUGAAGCUGCUUGUUUCUGGACUACUUUUUUUGGAUGGUGAGAAAUGGGCUAAACAUAGAAAGAUCAUAAACCCCGCAUUCCGACUAGAAAAACUGAAGGUAAUUUUUUGGCUCCAAGUUGCUAAUUAGAAAAUUUGACCAUAACUUCCAUCCAUAAUUGGGACCACUAUCUUGCUCCUGUGCAUGGUCUAACAUACAGUGACUUACUGGAUGAUUUUAAGGAAGCAAUCAGUGAAAUGCUUACUUCAAAAGUUGAACCAUAAGUUUAGUGUACCUUUAAAUUGGAUGUUGGGGUGUUCUUGUUGGUUUAUUACUUAUUUACAUUCUGCAUGUUUUAAUUUGUUAUAGAACAUGUUACCCGCAUUUCAUUUGAGCUGUAGCGACAUGAUAAGCAAAUGGGAGGGGAAGCUCUCAACAGAGGGGUCAUGUGAGUUGGAUGUUUGGCCCUAUCUUCAAAAUUUGACAGGCGAUGCGAUUUCGCGGACAGCAUUUGGUAGUAACUAUGAAGAAGGAAGAAUGAUAUUCGAACUGCAGAGAGAGCAAGCGCAACUUUUGGUCCAGUUCUCAGAGUCAGCUUUCAUUCCAGGAUGGCGGUAAGCUUAAAAUAUUUAACCUUUUCUGUCCUAAAGGUUGAAAUUUUGCCUGAGAGAAAAUCAAGAGGACUAUUUUUCUGCAUGAAAAUUACCCUUUUGUUUCUUUAGCUCAUGUUUCGCUUACUAGGAUUAUUUACAUGCAGGUUUUUGCCUACAAAAUCCAAUAAGAGGAUGAAGCAAAUUAGAAAAGAAGUAAAUGCAUUGUUGUGGGGUAUUAUCGACAAAAGAGGGAAGGCAAUGAAGGCUGGCGAAACUCUUAAUGAUGACUUAUUAGGUAUACUACUGGAAUCCAAUUUUAAAGAAAUUCAAGAGCAUGAAAAUGACAAGAACGUUGGAAUGAGUAUCAAAGAUGUCAUUGAGGAGUGUAAGCUAUUUUACUUUGCCGGUCAAGAGACUACCUCAGUUCUGCUUCUAUGGACAAUGGUUCUAUUAAGCAAACAUCCAAACUGGCAAGCUCGUGCAAGAGAAGAGGUUUUACAUGUUUUUGGCAACAACAAACCCGAAGGAGAUGGACUAAAUCACCUUAAAAUUG